rnacentral:lncRNA from 1 species
AUUACAAUUUAGAUCAGAUCUUUUACCACUUGUCAUUUCUGAAGAAUCAGAACAUGGACACCAAGUGAUACAAAGCUAGAAGCUCAUUUUAUUUCUGUUUCUUCUCUGUCUUCUUCACCUUCUUAGUGGUCUUCUUCUGGAGCUUCUUAAUUUCAUGCUUAAUGAUCCUGUUUCAUUUUCUUUGCCUUCAUAACCUUGUAACGAUCGAAGUCAGUCAUUUUGGCUUUCUUUUCUCUGGCUUCAAUCUUCUUCGCCCAUCGUGUUGCUGCCCACUUCUCAUUUAUAUUCUCCUUCUCCCAGGCACGACGCACACACUUCUGACGAGCGCUGUGCGGGAACUUGAGAACAAAGUCAGUCAGCUGCAUGCACUUGAAGGGCAUGGCUUGUCUUCUGACACCACUGCAGGGGCCAUCCACUAGCGCCCUGUUCUGGUCGAUAACAUCCACGAUGGCCACCAGCUUGCCAGCAUGCCUCCCGAAGGAGACGAAGGCGAUUCUGCCGAUCUCGACGAAGCGUUUGAACACCAUGAUGGCCGCCCGCGAGCAGAAAGGG